rnacentral:lncRNA from 1 species
CUGAGGUGGAGAGGGCAGGCCUUAUCCUGUCUCACAGAGAAGGACACUGUGGCUCAGGGAUGUCAAAGGUCUCGACCAAGAUCACAAAUUCUGUGGAUCAGGAGUUAAGGCGUGACUGAGCUGGAUGGCUCUGGCUCAGGGAUUCCCAUGAGGUUGAAAUCAAGAUGUCAAUCAGGACUACAGUCAUCUGAGGGCUUGCCUGGAGCUGGAGGAUCUGUUUCCAAGAUGGCGCCCUCACCAAGCUGUUGACAGGAGGCCUCAGACCUUCGCCACAUGGCCUCUCCAUAAGGCUGCUUGAGUGUCCUCGCAGACAUGUCAGACCUAUUUCCCCAUCUGCAAAAUAAGAAGACCGACUUCAAUGACCACUAAGGUUUCAUUUUCAGUCAGUUGUGUCCCAGCGUUCCAGCGCUGAGACCCUAGGCCUUGACCGCAGACCUCAGGCAGCCUCCUCCCGCUCCCCCUCCCUCCCUGCAAGACUCGCUGGCUCUUGGCCCCAAAUGCAACUACCUCCCAUCAGUGCCUAAGCCAUACCUGGGUUUAUCAGCAUCUCUAGGGUGGGACCCAAACAUCAGUAGGUUUUACAUCUCCCAAGUGAUUCCAACAUGCAGCCAUGGUUGAGGACCACUGCUCCAACUGCUCCACGUGAACCCUCACAUGGAGAAUCUUUCACCAAAUAAAACGACAUCGUAUUUGACUAAUUACUGAUUUGUCUUU